ACGCGCGGUCUAGUGUCUCCUUGGUCUUCCUCUGACUCUUUGGUCUCAUUCCGGUGCCAGAAUAUUCCUCUUCUUUCAGAAAGGCCGGACUCUGCUGUGGGCCAACCCUUCCGAUAGCUGGGAACACCU